GCUUCGUGUUCUAGUGGUAAGGACACUUGCCUCUCACCCUGGAGUCCCAGGUUCGAUCCACGGACGAGGAACGCGCA
rnacentral:tRNA from 1 species